GGCUAGAGGGUAGAGAUCUGGGAAGGCUGCUGGUUGGAGGGGCUCAAUCCAUGAGGCUGUGGGGAAGCCAUCCUGCUUUCUGGGCAGAGAUUUUCUAACUCAGACUUUUGUGGAGUAGCUACCACACCCCCGACUACAAGCCACAGUGGAGAACUACAUAACCCAAGAUGCCUUACCAGCUUCAUCUGGGAGUCAGCCAAUGGAAGGAAACAUCAUAAGGCCCACAAUUGUAAGAGAGAGGAGAUAAUUAAGUGCUGCUGGAUCCUAAUUUUCUCACUACCUGGAAGCAAUCCAGUCCGUCCUUGCUAAACUUCGCAGGCUGCUCUUCGUUCCCUGAAGUAGGACUGUUUCCUCCUUUUGUUCCUGCAGCCUAGGCCUUCGCCCGAUACAUUAGACUUGCUUGUGGCACAGGUGGCACACCUCUGUGUGGAGAAACUGUGGUCAGCCAACUUCCUGUCCCUGCUGCCAUGCUUUCCCUGUCUGUGCUUUGCCUGCUCCAUCAUGUUGGACUCCAUCCCUCUACAGGGAUUUGACGGAUCUGGAAUAGCCAAAACAAAUUUGAAGAAGAAGAAAGAUGGAGGACUUGAGCCAUCUAUAGCAAUCAAGAUGACAUCCAUAGAAAUCAGGAUGAUGUAGCACUGAUGUAUGAUUACUGGGAGAAACAGUCUGAACAAGGGCCAGAAAUGAACAAACAUGGCAAAGAGAGUCAAGAGACUCCAGAAUGCAUGUGACCGAUUCCACAGAUGAGUUUUAAUGUCACAGAGUAAGUUUGAAAAACCCAAACUCAUACUUCUCGAGGUUAAAGGGCCUCAUUUUAUGUUAACCUUCUGGUUGGUAGAGUCUCAAGAUGGUGAAAGACAGGAAACCCAUGUGUGGUAUCUUCAUUGGUGUCUCCCACUCUUCUUCUGAAACCACCAUAGCCAAACCUGGGCUCUAGCUUCAUGACCUUGUUUAAUCUAAACACACUACAAAGGCCUUAUCUCUAAACAUGAAAGCUUUAGUUUCCAGUCUUUUUACAACCACAAUAGGGAUUAAAUGUCAACAGGAGCUUCAGAGAGAAAAAUGCCACAUUCAAACCAUAUCAUGGAAUGAUUAUUUUGAUAGCCACAUAUUUCUAAAAGAAUAUCCUUCAUUGUCUCAAAAUACAUAAAAAUACAAUCUCAGAAUUGUCAUAGACAUAAAUACAAGUAUAAGUCAUAAAAUUUCUAGAGGAAAGCAAGGAUGGAAAUUUUGUUGAUAUGAGGUCUUGGAGAGGCUUCUGAAAUAGGACACACACACACAAUGCUUCAUAAAGGAUAUUACAAAUAGGAUUUAUGAAAGUUAUAUUUUUCCUUUUUUAAAAGACAUUGUUAAGCAUGAACACACAGCCCACAAAGUAUAAAAAAGUGUUCCCAUAGUACAUACUCAACUAAGGGUUCACAUUCAGAAUAUAUAAGAAAGCAAACACCCCGGAUGCACUUGUUUGCACAUGCCUACAAUUCCAACACUUGGGAGGCAAAGACCGGUCAUCCUUAGUUCUAUGGUGAGUUUGAGACCAACCUGAACUAUGUGAGACCCUGUCUCACAUAAACCAUCAAAGAAGGAAAGAAAGGGGGGAGAGAAAGGAGAGAAAAAUCCAAUAAAAAUAGAAGAUCUUUAAUGAAGGUAAGUGAAUAGCCUGGAAAUAUGUGAAGUACAUCAUUUAUCAGCAAAGUGGGAAUUAAAACUAUAUAAGCCAUGUAUAUCCAUUAGAAUGACCAUAAUUAAAAUGAUGAGAAUUACAAAAUGUUAGUCAAUGAGAAGCCUGCUGGAAUGGAAUAUGGCAUAAUCACUUAGAAAAGGCUUUUGGUUUCUUAAAAAGUUAAAACAUAUAAUCCAGACAUUCCAUUCGAAGUAUUUAUGCAAAAGAAACAUAAACAUAUGUUCAUGUAAUGACUUGUACACAAAUAUUUAUAUUAGUUUUGUGCACAAUAACGGAACCUGGAAACACUCCAUAGCAACUUUAUGCACAAUUAGCAAAAAUUGGUAGUAAUCCAGAUGUUCCAACAGGUAAUAGAUAAACAGUGGAAUAUUAUUAGACAAUAAAAAGAAACAAACUUCUAGCAUAUAAAACAAAAUGAACUACCACCAAGGUCAAGAAGCCUGGAGUGACAACUAUGGUCCCAUUUCUAUAAAAAUCCUAGUCAAUAUAAUAAAGUUAUGACAAAAAAGCCAUUCUGUGAUUAAAAAAACAAAGGCACCGAUAACAAUAGAUGGGGGUCAAGAAUAACCCCGGGAGGUUAGAAAUAGUCACUAUUUUGUUAUAGCAGUGAUCUCAGACACACACAGAGCUGUGCAUAUUCAAUGAAAGCAGCAAACUACUCACCAGUAACACUUCAGUGAAGCUGAUUUUAAAGCAAAGUAAUGAGUUCACAAGCUAAUCUCUGGAAUUUGGACCCAAGUUUUUCUAAAUAGCACAAGUUUUCUUCCCAGAGUUAUGCAAGGUGAGAUCUGUCCCCAUCUGUUUUCCUGUCCCUUCUGUUUUGUGUUUCAUGCCACUUUCCCUUCCCUUCCCUUCCCUUCUGCAUCCCAUGUCACCUUUCCUUUCCUUCCCUCCUAUGUCCCAUGUCACCCUUCCUUCCCCCCUCCUGUGUUCCACGCCACCUGUUGUUUUAAUGUUCAAACAACUGCAGGCAAAAAAAGUUUACUUCUAACACAUACAGAAUCUCCAGGUUUUGCUACAGCAGCAAACAUCUCUAUCUGGGCUCCAUGUGUCUUUUUCUCUCAACGAACAUCAGCCAGCUUGGGUUGCUUUAUCUACUUCACUGGAUUUGGAAGCACACGGAGCAGCGAGGCACACCUCUGGCAUGUCUGGGAGGGCAUGUGACCAGAAGACCCACCCUGACAUAGGCAGCACCAUUUCAAGGGCUGAGGCCCACAUGGAAUGAGAGGGACAGGCCAUCAGAGGACCAGAAUUCCCCUUCACUCUGCUUUCUUGGAGGUCAAGAAAUCAACUGCUUUCCUCGGCCUCAAGUUAAGUAAACAUGGACUGAACCCUCU